rnacentral:rRNA from 1 species
GUGGCUUGUCGCGUUGUUCGUGAAAUCUCACGGCUUAACUGUGAGCGUGCGGGCGAUACGGGCAGACUUGAGUACUGCAGGGGAGACUGGAAUUCCUGGUGUAGCGGUGGAAUGCGCAGAUAUCAGGAGGAACACCGGUGGCGAAGGCGGGUCUCUGGGCAGUAACUGACGCUGAGGAGCGAAAGCGUGGGGAGCGAACAGGAUUAGAUACCCUGGUAGUCCACGCCGUAAACGGUGGGUACUAGGUGUGGGUUUCCUUCCUUGGGAUCCGUGCCGUAGCUAACGCAUUAAGUACCCCGCCUGGGGAGUACGGCCGCAAGGCUAAAACUCAAAGAAAUUGACGGGGGCCCGCACAAGCGGCGGAGCAUGUGGAUUAAUUCGAUGCAACGCGAAGAACCUUACCUGGGUUUGACAUGCACAGGACGCCGGCAGAGAUGUCGGUUCCCUUGUGGCCUGUGUGCAGGUGGUGCAUGGCUGUCGUCAGCUCGUGUCGUGAGAUGUUGGGUUAAGUCCCGCAACGAGCGCAACCCUUGUCUCAUGUUGCCAGCGGGUAAUGCCGGGGACUCGUGAGAGACUGCCGGGGUCAACUCGGAGGAAGGUGGGGAUGACGUCAAGUCAUCAUGCCCCUUAUGUCCAGGGCUUCACACAUGCUACAAUGGCCGGUACAAAGGGCUGCGAUGCCGCGAGGUUAAGCGAAUCCUUUUAAAGCCGGUCUCAGUUCGGAUCGGGGUCUGCAACUCGACCCCGUGAAGUCGGAGUCGCUAGUAAUCGCAGAUCAGCAACGC